rnacentral:lncRNA from 1 species
CAACAUGACAAUGUACAAAUAUAAUCCAUACAAUAGUAAUUCCCCAAAUAAUAAAUAAUCAUAAGUAAAUAUAAAGUUACAAAUUAUGGUUUUUCUCUUUGUUUUUUGAGACAGGGUCUCAUUCUGUCGCCCAAGCUGGAGUGGAAUGGCACAAUCCAGGCUCACUGCAAUGGUGACCUCCUGGGCUCUCACAGCCUUGAUGCUCCUCCGGCAUCCCCAGUCUCUGGAUCAGAUUUUGCUCUAAAAGCACCGGGGAGAAGAAAGGCUUGUGAAUGCAAAGAAGGGUGCACAAACCAGCUGAGGCGAAUCCUGACUCCAAUCCUUGAAAUGACGUCUGUCAUCGUGCACUUCUCAUGCCACCCAAGAAGUGUCCCCUGAUGUUUCAGGCAGCUGUCACAUCUGCCUCCUCUGAGCUCCUAGUCAUUUGAUAUUUAAAAUGUACUGCCU